rnacentral:lncRNA from 1 species
GCGAGCCAGUCAUAAUCACGCAACAUCAGUGCCCGACUUCACUAAUGCUCCCUGCAGCGAUGUUCCAACAUCUAGUGGAAAAUCUUGUGGCGGCUGUUAUGGCAGCCAAGGGGGGACCAACUCCAUAAUGUUAAUGCCAUGAUUUUGUAAUGAGAUGUUUCCCGUGCAGGUGUCCACAUACUUUUGGUCACGUAGUUGGAGUUGCUGAUAGCUUAUGAUAGCAAGCUAGCUUCUUAGACUGAGCAUUCUUCUUUCUUCCAUACAGUGGAAUGAUUGAUACUAAUGUCUGUCUGUUUUCCAUUGUCUAGUGAGCAGAAAAGAUGGUGCUUCACCUUGAUAAAGAGCAUGCACUGUUGGAAUGGGUAAGUCUGCUUUGUUUUCUGUGGUCGUAACCAAUAUAAGCUCUAAGUACUUAGUUUUGUAUGCCUUGCUAAAUUGAAUACUUAUUUUUUGCGUCACUAGGUUAACCACCUGAAUGUGGACCUCCCGGUGCGGAGCAUCAAGGAUUUACAGGAUGGCGUUUUGUUGUUGAAGCUCGUCUAUAAACUGUGAGUAAAAACAAUGUUCCGUAAUAGCUUAGAACCGUAGAUAUUUGUCCUCAUCUGGAUUUUGCUGACUUGGUAGUUUGCUUCUUGUGUUGAUCAUUGACGUUUGUGAUUCUGACAGGAGAAAGGAAGAGCCCGCUAAGUUCUAUUUGGACCAGCCUAUCCAGGAGAGGCUGAAAGUGGUCUCUGACUUCCUGCAAGGUGAUUGUAGGUGCAGCACAGAACGGGGAGCUCUCAUCUCCUGGGACAACAUCAGCAAUGGCCUAAACCUGGAGGUGGAGUUAUCCAAGGUAUCAGGUUCAUACAACUGAGUUUUUAUUCACUGACCAAAUGUGGUCUUGAGCCCAAGUAUACAUCAUGAAUUGAUGGAUGGAGGCCAUCAGAGGCCACUGCAUUGUGUUCAGCUCUACACUUGACCCAACUCUCUCUCGAAGCAAAGUUUAUUGGUUACAUGCAUAGAAUACAGGGUGUAAAUGAUACAGUGAAAUAGUUAAUUGCAUGCUCUCCUCAACAUUUAUCAAAAAUAAUUAUGUAGUACAAAAAUAAAUCAAAUAGUGAUGUUUGGAAAUGUAUACACAGUAAGAAUAUACAGUAUAGACUAUGAAAUAUGCUGAAGUGAGUUAAUGAUCCAGCCCACCUCUAACCCAGAUCCCCUGUGUGGCCUGUUUU